rnacentral:ncRNA from 1 species
AUAAAUGCAGUGAAGGAGAGCGUAUCUUACAAGCAGCUUAAAGAGAGUCGGCGUUUGGUGGGAGUCGAUAGUGCGGAGAAGAUAUUACUAGCUCUGGAGCACCGUCCUUGAAAACAGUAGAGGAUGGCGGAUGAACCCCGUUAAAGGUUAAGGCAAAGCCGAAAGAGGAGUCUUCUACAAAAUGGGAGGAGACAAUUAGGGUGGUACCGCGAAUAUUAUUCGCCCCUGAA